GGUUGCUGGCGACCAGACCCUGCGCAGACAAGACCCCGCCCAGCUGGGUUAGCCAACGCGUCCCGGUGGAUCCUCAGGCCAACUGGAAGCCUGGGGAACCCGGGUCUGUCUGCCUUGACGCCAUCCGGGACCUGGGGCGGGGUCUCCACACUCACACAAGCCAUGGCUGAGGACAAGACGAUGGUCCUGGGAACUGAUGGUCCUGGGAACUGACGCACCAGCUGUCUGAAGACUCCACCCGAAAGAUGGGGCCCUGGGCCGCUCCCAUCCUUUUAAAUGGACCAGACCACCGCAGAUACUUUACUGAGCACCUGCUGUGUGCCUGGCCCUGAGCUGGUCUGAGAGGAUUCAAAGAUGGAACUCACAGUUCCUGCUGUCAAGCAGCCCGCUGUUAGGGCAGAAUCUGGCUAUGAACUUAAUGAAGAAAUAGUACGAUAUUGGCUCUAAGGGAAGUCGUGAGCAAAGCAUCAUGGUGAAGGUGGGUCUUGAAGGAUGGGUGAAGAAGGCGGGCUGGCAUUCCAGCUUGGGCAGAUCUGGGGAACAGCAAGCAUAUGAGCAUGGAUGGAG